AUCGUGAACGUUCGGUACUUUUUGUAAUGUGUGAAUUUUUUUAUAGUAUUUUGAAGUAAUUGAUUAUUGAUUAAAUUUUUGGAGGUCUAUUAAUAUGACACAAGGUACAGUAAAAUGGUUUAACUCAGAAAAAGGUUUUGGAUUUAUCGAAGUUGAAGGUGGAAACGAUGUAUUCGUACACUUCUCUGCAAUCCAAGGCGACGGUUUCAAAACUUUAGAAGAAGGUCAAAAAGUUGAAUUCUCAGUUGAAGAAGGAAACCGCGGACCACAAGCUUCUAACGUAACUAAACUAUAAUUGAAGCUCAAAGGGCAAUCUCUUUUAAAGAGAUUGCCCUUUU
rnacentral:sRNA from 1 species